CCUACGGGAGGCAGCAGUGGGGAAUAUUGGACAAUGGGCGAAAGCCUGAUCCAGCAAUGCCGCGUGAGUGAUGAAGGCCUUAGGGUUGUAAAGCUCUUUUACCCGGGAAGAUAAUGACUGUACCGGGAGAAUAAGCCCCGGCUAACUCCGUGCCAGCAGCCGCGGUAAU
rnacentral:rRNA from 3 species